GACUAGUCCAAGUGCUGUCAUGUUUACAACUGAUUGAUCACAAGCAAUCGCAAAUUUCUUUGUUCCUUCUCCACUCUCACUGCUUCAUUUGACUAGCCUUAA
rnacentral:Y_RNA from 1 species